rnacentral:tmRNA from 1 species
GGGACUGAAUGGAUUUGACAGCAAGUCGAAUUAAUUAAUUAGCAUGUCGAGUUUUGAAUUUUAACUCGUAAAAAAUAAAUUUUCAAUUUUUAAAUGGCGAAAACAAUUACGCUUUAGCUGCCUAAUUUAAUAAUUACGUAAGCUUUUGUCUCUUUUAAAGGUAUUCCUGAAACCUUUAAUUUUGAGGCAUCAUUAAUUCAGGAUAGUUGUAUUAUCUCUUCAAUAAUAUAAUGAGAAUUUUAGAAGAUAAGGAUGAAUUUUGGUUGCUUAUUUCCUUAACCAUCUCGAAAAUCAAAAUAAGAUAAACAUGUAGAAAAUUCUUUAAUACCUUGUUUGGACGUGGGUUCGAAACCCACCAGUUCCACUA